rnacentral:rRNA from 1 species
CUUGGUCAUUUAGAGGAAGUAAAAGUCGUAACAAGGUUUCCGUAGGUGAACCUGCGGAAGGAUCAUUAUUGAAAUAAACCUGAUGGGUUGUUGCUGGCUCUCUAGGGAGCAUGUGCACACCUUGUCAUCUUUAUAUCUCCACCUGUGCACUUUUUGUAGACCUUUCAGGUCUAUGUUGCUUCAUUUACCCCAAUGUAUGUUAAUAGAAUGUUGUGCCUAUAUAAUAUAUACAACUUUCAGCAACGGAUCUCUUGGCUCUCGCAUCGAUGAAGAACGCAGCGAAAUGCGAUAAGUAAUGUGAAUUGCAGAAUUCAGUGAAUCAUCGAAUCUUUGAACGCACCUUGCGCUCCUUGGUAUUCCGAGGAGCAUGCCUGUUUGAGUGUCAUUAAUAUAUCAACCUUCUCUUUUUUGAGUUGUUUGGAUGUGGGGGUUUGCUGGCAUCUUAAAUGAUUCAGCUCCCCUGAAAUGCAUUAGCAGAACAAACCUGUUCAUUGGCGUGAUAAUUAUCUAUGCUAUUGAAUGUGAGGGCAGUUCAGCUUUCUAACCGUCCUUGGGCAAUUCAUCAUUAAUGUGACCUCAAAUCAGGUAGGACUACCCGCUGAACUUAAGCAUAUCAAUAAGCGGAGGA